rnacentral:misc_RNA from 1 species
ACGUUCUCAGUCACAUAAAGUUCCACCGAAGUGUUACAGAAGAAAGCGCCGCACUGUUUUCCGUAUUCUCUUCUUUUUGCAACAGAAUGUACGUACAAGCUGGCAACCACAUCUAUUGGCUGAUUGCCUUAGUGGAUAUUGCAGGAGCGGUGGUCUCUCAACUGAACGGUGGCCGAAUUGUGUACCCGGAGUUAUUUCGGAGCCGUGAAGCAAAUGGUGGCCGCUUGCUGAAGAUAACAGACGACAUUCUACUUAAACUUAAAAAGAGUUCGGUUCUUGAAAGAGAGUUCCUCGUUAGGACUUACUCCGACGGUAUACCUGUGCACACCUAUAUGAGCGGACCUUACCUUGAGGAUGACCUUUACCAUGAUGAAGCAUCAAUGGCGUCGGUUACUGUCUCCUACGACAGCGGCCUUAGAGUGGAAGGCACAGUCGCCCCACGAAUGCGUAUCGCACCGCUUCCGACGCACGAACGGAGUGCCGAUGGCCGUAUUGCGCACCAACUGGUAGAAAUUCAAGACGAGCUAACUAGUGACAGUGGAGAUUACGAAGUCGCUGCCUAUCCAACCCUGCGAGCUUUCAACGGCGCCAUUGGAAGAAAUGAAAGUAUCCCUAUUUCGGAACGAUCAUCUGGAACUAUACGUCCCGAGCUUUUCGUUGUGGUGGACUCCCUGUUCGCACAGGUUUUCAGCAGUACCGCCAACAUCAUUAAAUAUGUCGCCAUAUGCGUAAAUGCUAUAAACCUGAGGUACUUGGGAGUUACUGAUCCAAAAGUCAAGCACAAACUUGUCGGACUGGAGGUUACAACGAGUGAACAAGAAUGGUUUCUACGGAGAGUGACCCGGGAUCCAAGAUACGUUCACGCUCAAGGCACCCUUGCCUCUUUCCAAACUUACGUAACUCAAAAUCGUGAGCUCUACAGUAACGCUGACGCUGUCUUCCUGUUAACAGGACAAGACUUGGCAACGAUAAAGAAUUAUGAAGUAAACAAUCGCAGUGGUGGUUAUGCGUAUAUUAGGACUGUCUGCAGUGAACAUAAAGUAGGGGUUGGAGAAGACCGACCACCUACAUUCAAGGGUGUUCAUGUAAUGGCCCACGAAAUUGGACAUAUCCUGGGUUGCCUGCACGACGGUGAAGAUUCCCCUUUUGGAAAUCAAGACAUCCCUGGCUCUCGGGAGUGCCCUUUCGAACACGGGUACCUGAUGAGUUAUAUACGGAAAGACAGUAACACUUACAAGUUUUCUCCGUGCAGCAUCGAACAGAUUAGAGAGACAGCACGGAAAUGGGAGUGAAAGACUGCACCAUUAGAUGUGGAACUGCAGGCAAAAAACGAGAUUCAGAACCCAAGCUUCUUCACUUGAGUGAUGGAACACCUUGUAAAACAAAGCAUGGCAAGACAUACAACUGCAUCAAUGGCUUAUGCUUGAAAAAGAAGAAGUCAUAUGGAUACGAAGCAGUGCCCUGAGGCUGUAGGAAACAGGAGAGUGCGCGUCGGUUUGUAAAUUAAAGGGCAGUGUCCAUGUUCUCCUUGUGAA